rnacentral:rRNA from 1 species
AUUGAACGCUGGCGGCAGGCCUAACACAUGCAAGUCGAGCGGCAGCGGGAAAGUAGCUUGCUACUUUUGCCGGCGAGCGGCGGACGGGUGAGUAAUGCCUGGGGAUCUGCCCAGUCGAGGGGGAUAACAGUUGGAAACGACUGCUAAUACCGCAUACGCCCUACGGGGGAAAGGAGGGGACCUUCGGGCCUUUCGCGAUUGGAUGAACCCAGGUGGGAUUAGCUAGUUGGUGGGGUAAUGGCUCACCAAGGCGACGAUCCCUAGCUGGUCUGAGAGGAUGAUCAGACACACUGGAACUGGGAAACGGUCCAGACGCCUACGGGAGGCAGCAGUGGGGAAUAUUGCACAAUGGGGGAAACCCUGAUGCAGCCAUGCCGCGUGUGUGAAGAAGGCCUUCGGGUUGUAAAGCACUUUCAGCGAGGAGGAAAGGUUGGUAGCUAAUAACUGCCAGCUGUGACGUUACUCGCAGAAGAAGCACCGGCUAACUCCGUGCCAGCCGCCGCCGUAA